UGUUUCCUCAACUCCUCCAUCUCAACGCGACUCAUGCAGUAAGGAGCAACCAAAAUGGGCUGGGUGUCUGGCUGUAGAUCUAAGGUGAACUUGACUUCCUUAUCCACUAGCAGUCCCUGUAGUUCAUCCAGAAACACAUCUGGAAAGUCUCGAACUACCGAAAUCUCUUAAAUACAAUUCUCUUUCUUGGAUUUGCCUAGUUAAAGAAAAUAGCA
rnacentral:lncRNA from 1 species